rnacentral:tRNA from 1 species
UUGAAUUGAAGUCAAAAUAGAGACAAAUUAUUGUUAAUAAUUUUAAUGAUAAAAUCCUGUUCA